rnacentral:rRNA from 1 species
AUCGAACGCUGGCGGCAUGCCUAACACAUGCAAGUCGAGCGAGCGGCGGACGGGGGAGUAAUGUCGGGUAAACUGCCUGUUGGAGGGGGAUAACUACUGGAAACGGUAGCUAAUACCGCAUACCAUCAGAUUUGCCCCGAUGGUGUUAGAUAGUAGGUGGGGUAACGGCUCACCUAGGCGACGAUCCGUAGCGGGUCUGAGAGGAUGACCGGCCACACUGGAACUGAGACACGGCCCAGACUCCUACGGGAGGCAGCAGUGGGGAAUAUUCGGCAAUGGGCGCAAGCCUGACGCAGCCAUGCCGCGUGUGUGAAGAAGGCCUUCGGGUUGUAAAGCACUUUCAGCGGGGAGGCGGUACCCGAAGAGGAAGCAACGGCUAACUCCGUGCCAGCAGCCGCGGUAAUUC